ACGGGUGAGUAAUACAUCGGAACGUAUCCUGGAGUGGGGGAUAGCCCGGCGAAAGCCGGAUUAAUACCGCAUACGCUCUGAGGAGGAAAGCGGGGGACCUUCGGGCCUCGCGCUCAAGGGGCGGCCGAUGGCGGAUUAGGUAGUUGGUGGGGUAAAGGCCUACCAAGCCGACGAUCCGUAGCUGGUCUGAGAGGACGACCAGCCACACUGGGACUGAGACACGGCCCAGACUCCUACGGGAGGCAGCAGUGGGGAAUUUUGGACAAUGGGGGCAACCCUGAUCCAGCAAUGCCGCGUGUGUGAAGAAGGCCUUCGGGUUGUAAAGCACUUUUGUCCGGAAAGAAAUCAUCGGGGCCAAUACCCCUGGUAGAUGACGGUACCGGAAGAAUAAGCACCGGCUAACUACGUGCCAGCAGCCGCGGUAAUACGUAGGGUGCGAGCGUUAAUCGGAAUUACUGGGCGUAAAGCGUGCGCAGGCGGUGCUGUAAGACCGAUGUGAAAUCCCCGGGCUUAACCUGGGAACUGCAUUGGUGACUGCAGCGCUGGAGUAUGGCAGAGGGGGGUGGAAUUCCACGU
rnacentral:rRNA from 1 species